rnacentral:pre_miRNA from 13 species
UGUAAACAUCCCCGACUGGAAGCUGUCACUCAGCAGAGCUUUCAGUCUGAUGUUUACC